GAGGAGGAAGGAGAGGAAGAGGGAAGGGGGAGGGGCUUCCCGAGGGGGAAGGGGAGGGGAAGGGGAGGGGGUCACACUCUCUCAGCCCCCUCCCACCUUUCCAAACAAGGCAAGCAAAGACCCGACAAUAGAGCACAAGAGUUACGAGUUGGGUCGAUACAGGGAAUGCUGUGGAUGUAGCCUACCUGGAUUUCAGUAAGGCCUUCGACAAAGUCCCCCACGACCUUCUGGAAAACAAACUAGUAAAAUGUGGGCUAGACAAAACUACGGUUAGGUGGAUCUGUAAUUGGCUAAGCGAACGAACCCAAAGGGUGCUCACCAAUGCGUCGUCUUCAUCAUGGAAAGAAGUGACAAGUGGAGUGCCAUCAGCAGGGCUCCGUCCUGGGCCCGGUUCUGUUCAACAUCUUUAUUAACGACUUAGACGAAGGGUUAGAAGGCACGAUCAUCAAGUUUGCAGACGACACCAAACUGGGAGGGAUAGCUAACACUCCAGAAGACAGGAGCAGAAUUCAAAACGAUCUUGACAGACUAGAGAGAUGGGCCAAAACUCACAAAAUGAAGUUCAACAGGGACAAAUGCAAGAUACUUCAUUUCGGCAGAAAAAAUGGAAAUCAAAGAUACAGAAUGGGGGACGAGGCCUGGCUUGACAGCAGUGUGUGCGAAAAAGACCUUGGAGUCCUUGUGGACAACAAGUUAAACAUGAGCCAACAAUGUGAUGCGGCUGCUAAAAAAGCCAAUGGGAUUCUGUCCUGCAUCAAUAGGGGAAUAACGUCUAGAUCCAGGGAAGUCCUGCUCCCCCUUAUUCUAUUCUGCCUUGGUCAGACCACACCUGGAAUCACACUGUGUCCAAUUUUGGGCACCGCAGUUGAAGGGAGAUGUUGACAAGCUGGAAAGCGUCCAGAGGAGGGCGACUAAAAUGAUGAAGGGUCUGGAGAACAAGCCCUAUGAGGAGCGGCUUAAAGAGCUGGGCAUGUUUAGCCUGCAGAAGAGAAGGCUGAGAGGAGACAUGAGAGCCAUGUACAAAUAUGUGAAGGGAAGUCCUAGGGAAGAGGGAGCAAGCUUGUUUUCUGCUGCCCUGGAGACUAGGACACGGAACAAUGGCUUCAAACUACAGGAAAGGAGAUUCCACCUGAACAUCAGGAAGAACUUCCUCACUGUGAGAAGGGCUGUUCGACAGUGGAACUCUCUCCCCCGGGCCGUGGUGGAGGCUCCUUCCUUGGAGGCUUUUAAGCAGAGGCUGGAUGGCCAUCUGUCGGGGGUGCUUUGAAUGCAAUUUCCUGCUUCUUAGCAGGGGGUUGGACUAGAUGGCCCAUGUGGUCUCUUCCAACUCUACUAUUCUAUGAUUCUAUGAUUCUGUGUACAAAGUUUGGCCCCAAUCCAUCGGUGUUUGGGUUCACAGUGCUCAUCGAGUGCAGGUGAACUAUAAAUCCCAGUACCUAUAACUCCAAAACAUCCAGGGCCAAUUCCACUCAAAACCCACCAGUAUUCAGUAUCAACACUGAAAACAAUAUAGUUCACAAAUUAAAACCUAACAAUAUCAAGAAAUAAACCCAGAAUAUUUUAAAAAAUAACCUUAACCACUAUGAAAAACUACUACAUUCAUAAAAACAUUAAAAUAAUUCUUUAAAAGCAAAUGAAGAUUCAAUCUGAACGAGCAGAAGAUUAACCUCUUCUGGGCAUCCAAUUUCCAAGCAACAGUCUAUUGAAAGCAAAGAAUCUGUGACACAGCCAACAGAAAGGCUAUCAUUCCUUUUAUUUUUGAAUGAUGGCCUUAAUUACGAAGGUGACUGAGGCUGAUCUAUAAUGGUUUUGUAUAUAUAGAUCACCCUCUUUUUAAGGAUUGGAGAAUGGGAAACGCAAAGGCAAAGAUGGAAGUCCUUUUUUUUUUUUUCUUCCUCUCCUUUCUUUUUUUUGGAGGGGGGGUAUUUUUGAUGGUUUUCUUUUUCUUUCUUUCUUUUUUUAUUAACAGUCUUUAAUCUUCUUCUCUACUACCUUAAUCUUAAUUUCUGCACUUUCUAUAUCAAAAAAUGUUCUCACUCUUUCGAUGUAUUAAACUAAUCUUCAAUAAAUAUAUAUAUUAAAAAAUAUAUAUAAUUCUUUAAAA